GCGCGGGGGUCCGGGGACUGAACGCGGACACCUCCAGCGAGGGCGGAGGCACCCGGGGGGCCGGAGUACCCGACCACUCACCCCACACACCUGUCGUCUCUCUCAGCCAGCACGUCAGGCGGUGCGUGGUCGCGUGCGGUUCGGCCCCACCUCGCAGCCCCCGGCCCUGCCUCCAGUGACACUCGGGCUUCGCCCUCCUCCAACGCGACUAGAAUCUCCGCAUCGAAUACCUAACAUCACCGUGGCAGCUACUGAAUCUGUUGAACGAACUCCUGACCGUGUAAAUCAAGACUCCUCAUACCACGAGCAAUGUGAUAGUAUUGUUAUUCAAACAUUUGAGAAACCACGUAAUCUGAGCUAUCUGUACUGAGAAUGGUCCGAAGCAGGCGUCUACGAAGUGAGCGUAGUCUCUGAGCGGCCGUUCUAUGGCGGCCUCUACUUCAGUCGCCCACGUGGCGAGGGAUUCAAGCUCGCCUCGAGCACACACCGCGGCCAACGCCUGGGCGGCCCUGUACAGAGGCGUGUGUGAGCAGAGCUGGUCCGGCGACUCUGCGACAGAACCGCGAGUCGUGAGCCGGGACCCGGGCGCCUCGCACCAACAACACGCGCCACGACACCG